rnacentral:rRNA from 1 species
AUUGAACGCUGGCGGCAGGCCUAACACAUGCAAGUCGAGCGGUAGCACAGAGAGCUUGCUCUCGGGUGACGAGCGGCGGACGGGUGAGUAAUGUCUGGGAAACUGCCUGAUGGAGGGGGAUAACUACUGGAAACGGUAGCUAAUACCGCAUAACGUCGCAAGACCAAAGUGGGGGACCUUCGGGCCUCAUGCCAUCAGAUGUGCCCAGAUGGGAUUAGCUAGUAGGUGGGGUAACGGCUCACCUAGGCGACGAUCCCUAGCUGGUCUGAGAGGAUGACCAGCCACACUGGAACUGAGACACGGUCCAGACUCCUACGGGAGGCAGCAGUGGGGAAUAUUGCACAAUGGGCGCAAGCCUGAUGCAGCCAUGCCGCGUGUGUGAAGAAGGCCUUCGGGUUGUAAAGCACUUUCAGCGGGGAGGAAGGCGGUGAGGUUAAUAACCUCAUCGAUUGACGUUCUCCGCAGAAGAAGCACCGGCUAACUCCGUGCCAGCAGCCGCGGUAAUACGGAGGGUGCAAGCGUUAAUCGGAAUUACUGGGCGUAAAGCGCACGCAGGCGGUCUGUCAAGUCGGAUGUGAAAUCCCCGGGCUCAACCUGGGAACUGCAUUCGAAACUGGCAGGCUAGAGUCUUGUAGAGGGGGGUAGAAUUCCAGGUGUAGCGGUGAAAUGCGUAGAGAUCUGGAGGAAUACCGGUGGCGAAGGCGGCCCCCUGGACAAAGACUGACGCUCAGGUGCGAAAGCGUGGGGAGCAAACAGGAUUAGAUACCCUGGUAGUCCACGCUGUAAACGAUGUCGAUUUGGAGGUUGUGCCCUUGAGGCGUGGCUUCCGGAGCUAACGCGUUAAAUCGACCGCCUGGGGAGUACGGCCGCAAGGUUAAAACUCAAAUGAAUUGACGGGGGCCCGCACAAGCGGUGGAGCAUGUGGUUUAAUUCGAUGCAACGCGAAGAACCUUACCUGGUCUUGACAUCCACAGAACUUUCCAGAGAUGGAUUGGUGCCUUCGGGAACUGUGAGACAGGUGCUGCAUGGCUGUCGUCAGCUCGUGUUGUGAAAUGUUGGGUUAAGUCCCGCAACGAGCGCAACCCUUAUCCUUUGUUGCCAGCGGUUAGGCCGGGAACUCAAAGGAGACUGCCAGUGAUAAACUGGAGGAAGGUGGGGAUGACGUCAAGUCAUCAUGGCCCUUACGACCAGGGCUACACACGUGCUACAAUGGCAUAUACAAAGAGAAGCGACCUCGCGAGAGCAAGCGGACCUCAUAAAGUAUGUCGUAGUCCGGAUUGGAGUCUGCAACUCGACUCCAUGAAGUCGGAAUCGCUAGUAAUCGUAGAUCAGAAUGCUACGGUGAAUACGUUCCCGGGCCUUGUACACACCGCCCGUCACACCAUGGGAGUGGGUUGCAAAAGAAGUAGGUAGCUUAACC